UUUUGGACAUGGGGGCAACCCUGNUCCAGCCAUGCCGCGUGAGUGAAGAAGGCCUUCGGGUUGUAAAGCUCUUUCGGCCGGGACGAAAUCGCUAUUUCUAAUACGAGUAGUGGAUGACGGUACCGGAAUAAGAAGCACCGGCUAACUACGUGCCAGCAGCCGCGGUAAUACGUAGGGUGCGAGCGUUAAUCGGAAUUACNUGGGCGUAAAGCGUGCGCAGGCNGGUUUUGUAAGCCAGAUGUGAAAUCCCCGGGCUUAACCUGGGAACUGCAUUUGGGACUGCAAGGCUAGAGUGUGUCAGAGGGGGGUAGAAUUCCACGUGUAGCAGUGAAAUGCGUAGAGAUGUGGAGGAAUACCGAUGGCGAAGGCAGCCCCCUGGGAUAACACUGACGCUCAUGCACGAAAGCGUGGGGAGCAAACAGGAUUAGAUACCCUGGUAGUCCACGCCCUAAACGAUGUCAACUAGUUGUCGGAGGAGAGAUUCUUUGGUAACGCAGCUAACGCGUGAAGUUGACCGCCUGGGGAGUACGGCCGCAAGGUUAAAACUCAAAGGAAUUGACGGA
rnacentral:rRNA from 1 species